rnacentral:lncRNA from 1 species
AAAGAAAGGUUGUAACUAAGAGGCAUUUUUUUGUACCAGAUGGGAUGGGAGGGGAUCUCUUAAGAAGUAGAGAUUUGAUAAAGAAUAAGGAUACAUCAUCAUGUGAAACCCAAGUAAAGUAGGAAAAGGGAAAGUAGGUACCUGAGUUAUUGAAGAUAAGGAAGAUUGAGGUGACUCUGGCUGGAAGCGUGUUAGGUGUUCCGACAUCUUGGAGUGGUGGCAGUUAUUUGUCUGGGUUUGGCAAAGUGAUGUGUCUUUUUUGCAACAUGACAAACAUGGAAACAUAUAUUGUAUAGUAACUCACAUAAAACCUGUAUCAUGUUACCUGCUAUUUUGAGGAUGGGAGAGGAAGAAGAAAAGGGUAGAAAAUGAAGAACAAAAUGUCAGAAAAUGAUUAUUUUAUAAAUUGUAUCCACAUGUAAUUUGGAAAAAGUAAAAUAAAAAAUUUAAGCAAAC